UACGAAGGGGGCGAGCGUUGUUCGGAAUUACUGGGCGUAAAGGGCGCGUAGGCGGCGACUCAAGUUAGAUGUGAAAGUCCGGGGCUUAACCUGGGGACUGCAUUUGAUACUGGGUUGCUUGAAUUCGGGAGAGGAUAGCGGAAUUCCCAGUGUAGAGGUGAAAUGCGUAGAUAUUGGGAAGAACACCGGUGGCGAAGGCGGCUAUCUGGACCGACAUUGACGCUGAGGCGCGAAAGCGUGGGGAGCAAACAGG
rnacentral:rRNA from 1 species